rnacentral:misc_RNA from 1 species
CAACCCUCAAGCCCAGCUUGGUGUUGGGCUUCUGUCGGACGAGACAGGCCCGAAAGUCAGUGGCGGCUCCCCCUAGCCUCAAGCGUAGAAAACGACAGCCUCGCCUUUGACGGUUGGAUGCGUGUGAGCCUGCCAGAAGAAUCUAUCAA